GAUGAACGCUGGCGGCGUGCCUAAUACAUGCAAGUCGAGCGAACGGACGAGAAGCUUGCUUCUCUGAUGUUAGCGGCGGACGGGUGAGUAACACGUGGAUAACCUACCUAUAAGACUGGGAUAACUUCGGGAAACCGGAGCUAAUACCGGAUAAUAUUUUGAACCGCAUGGUUCAAAAGUGAAAGACGGUCUUGCUGUCACUUAUAGAUGGAUCCGCGCUGCAUUAGCUAGUUGGUAAGGUAACGGCUUACCAAGGCAACGAUGCAUAGCCGACCUGAGAGGGUGAUCGGCCACACUGGAACUGAGACACGGUCCAGACUCCUACGGGAGGCAGCAGUAGGGAAUCUUCCGCAAUGGGCGAAAGCCUGACGGAGCAACGCCGCGUGAGUGAUGAAGGUCUUCGGAUCGUAAAACUCUGUUAUUAGGGAAGAACAUAUGUGUAAGUAACUGUGCACAUCUUGACGGUACCUAAUCAGAAAGCCACGGCUAACUACGUGCCAGCAGCCGCGGUAAUACGUAGGUGGCAAGCGUUAUCCGGAAUUAUUGGGCGUAAAGCGCGCGUAGGCGGUUUUUUAAGUCUGAUGUGAAAGCCCACGGCUCAACCGUGGAGGGUCAUUGGAAACUGGAAAACUUGAGUGCAGAAGAGGAAAGUGGAAUUCCAUGUGUAGCGGUGAAAUGCGCAGAGAUAUGGAGGAACACCAGUGGCGAAGGCGACUUUCUGGUCGGUAACUGACGCUGAUGUGCGAAAGCGUGGGGAUCAAACAGGAUUAGAUACCCUGGUAGUCCACGCCGUAAACGAUGAGUGCUAAGUGUUAGGGGGUUUCCGCCCCUUAGUGCUGCAGCUAACGCAUUAAGCACUCCGCCUGGGGAGUACGACCGCAAGGUUGAAACUCAAAGGAAUUGACGGGGACCCGCACAAGCGGUGGAGCAUGUGGUUUAAUUCGAAGCAACGCGAAGAACCUUACCAAAUCUUGACAUCCUUUGACAACUCUAGAGAUAGAGCCUUCCCCUUCGGGGGACAAAGUGACAGGUGGUGCAUGGUUGUCGUCAGCUCGUGUCGUGAGAUGUUGGGUUAAGUCCCGCAACGAGCGCAACCCUUAAGCUUAGUUGCCAUCAUUAAGUUGGGCACUCUAAGUUGACUGCCGGUGACAAACCGGAGGAAGGUGGGGAUGACGUCAAAUCAUCAUGCCCCUUAUGAUUUGGGCUACACACGUGCUACAAUGGACAAUACAAAGGGCAGCGAAACCGCGAGGUCAAGCAAAUCCCAUAAAGUUGUUCUCAGUUCGGAUUGUAGUCUGCAACUCGACUACAUGAAGCUGGAAUCGCUAGUAAUCGUAGAUCAGCAUGCUACGGUGAAUACGUUCCCGGGUCU
rnacentral:rRNA from 1 species